GCUAAGAAUUUUCAAUAUUCUCCUCCAAAAUUAAUUGCAUAAGUUUAAUGCUUGCACUCCUCCUUAUAUGGAUUUUGCAGGUUUGGCUCUUGUGUUACAAAU